rnacentral:misc_RNA from 1 species
AUGAUUACGAAUCGUUGCCUUCAGUGCUGGCCAGAUCCUGGCAAGUGCACGUCGGUGACUUUCAUCCAAUACCCUGUGAACCUUUGGCCUCUUGCUAGCUUUGGCCGGCAGAGGAAUUUUACACAAACUCGAAUGUAAUGAAAUAUAUUGUCGUGCGCAAGCACUAAUGUA